ACACAUGCAAGUCGAACGAUGAACCGCUUUCGGGCGGGGAUUAGUGGCGAACGGGUGAGUAACACGUGGGCAAUCUGCCCUGCACUCUGGGACAAGCCCUGGAAACGGGGUCUAAUACCGGAUAUGACCGUCUGCCGCAUGGUGGAUGGUGUAAAGCUCCGGCGGUGCAGGAUGAGCCCGCGGCCUAUCAGCUUGUUGGUGAGGUAGUGGCUCACCAAGGCGACGACGGGUAGCCGGCCUGAGAGGGCGACCGGCCACACUGGGACUGAGACACGGCCCAGACUCCUACGGGAGGCAGCAGUGGGGAAUAUUGCACAAUGGGCGAAAGCCUGAUGCAGCGACGCCGCGUGAGGGAUGACGGCCUUCGGGUUGUAAACCUCUUUCAGCAGGGAAGAAGCGAAAGUGACGGUACCUGCAGAAGAAGCGCCGGCUAACUACGUGCCAGCAGCCGCGGUAAUACGUAGGGCGCAAGCGUUGUCCGGAAUUAUUGGGCGUAAAGAGCUCGUAGGCGGCUUGUCACGUCGGUUGUGAAAGCCCGGGGCUUAACCCCGGGUCUGCAGUCGAUACGGGCAGGCUAGAGUUCGGUAGGGGAGAUCGGAAUUCCUGGUGUAGCGGUGAAAUGCGCAGAUAUCAGGAGGAACACCGGUGGCGAAGGCGGAUCUCUGGGCCGAUACUGACGCUGAGGAGCGAAAGCGUGGGGAGCGAACAGGAUUAGAUACCCUGGUAGUCCACGCCGUANACGGUGGGCACUAGGUGUGGGCAAC
rnacentral:rRNA from 1 species